rnacentral:rRNA from 1 species
CCCUAAAAAACCGGUACUCAGUUCGGAUUGAAGGCUGAAAUUCGCCUUCAUGAAGCUGGAAUUGCUAGUAAUGGCAGGUCAGCAUACUGCCGUGAAUACGUUCCCGGGCCUUGUACACACCGCCCGUCACACCAUGAGAGUUGGGAAUACCCGAAGCCUGUGAGCUAACUGUAAGGAGGCAGCAGUCGAAGGUAGAAUCAAUGAUUGGGGUGAAGUCGUAACAAGGUAUC